rnacentral:rRNA from 1 species
UAUUACUUUUAUAAAGAGUCAGGCCUGCCCAGUGAAUAAUCUUUAACGGCCGCGGUACUCUGACCGUGCAAAGGUAGCAUAAUCAUUUGCCUUAUAAUUGAAGGCUAGUAUGAAUGGUUUAACGAGAGCAAUACUGUCUCCUUACUAUUUUGAGAAUUUAACUUUUAUGUGAAGAGGCCUAAAUUUGAUUGAAGGACAAGAAGACCCUGUCGAGCUUAAAAGACAAUAUAGAAGUCUAUAUAUUUUGAAAUAAAUUUACUGUUAAGCUUUUUAGUUGAGGAGCGACUUGGGAACAAAAAAAGCUUCCACUAGUAAACAAACAAACAAGUUUUGAGCCGAUAAUAAUCGAUUAAAGAAAUUAGUUACCGCAGGGAUAACAGCAUAAUCUCUCUUGAGAGACCUAAUCGAAAGAGGGGGUUGUGACCUCGAUGUUGGACUAGAAUAUCCUAAAGAUGUAGAAGUCUUUAAGAGGUA